CGCAUCUGUGCAUGCAGCAUAUCAAUAAGCGGAGGAAAAGAAACUAACAAGGAUUCCCCUAGUAACGGCGAGUGAAGCGGGAAGAGCUCAAAUUUGAAAUCUUAAAGGGUUUCCCUUUACGAAUUGUAGUUUAAAGAAGUGUUUUCUGUUGAGGUUUUGGUAAAAGUUCUUUGGAAUAGGACAUCAUAGAGGGUGAGAAUCCCGUAUUUGACCUUUACUUUCAACUUUGUGAUACACUUUCAAAGAGUCGGAUUGUUUGGGAAUGCAGUCCAAAAUGGGUGGUAAAUUUCAUCUAAAGCUAAAUAUUGGCGAGAGACCGAUAGCGAACAAGUACCGUGAGGGAAAGAUGAAAAGAACUUUGAAAAGAGAGUUAAGCAGUACGUGAAAUUGUCAAAAGGGAAGCGUUUGACACCAGUGUUGUUUUUCUGAAAAUCAAUUAAAGAACUGUUUAUGCUAAGCUGUUUAGACUUUAUCAGCUAUCUGUCUAGUUUUGAGCUUUUCUUUAAUGCACUUUUCAGUUAACAAGUCAACAUCAAUUCUUUUGCUGUAAAAAAGCUUGAGGAAGGUGGCUUGAGAUUCGUCUUAAGUGUUUAUAGCCUCUUGCCUAUGCAGUCGGAGAGAUUGAGGUCUGCAGCGUAGAUCCUUCGGGGCUAAAUGCAUUUGUGCUAAGUUAUAGCAUUUUAUAGACAACUUGUUGACUAUGAUUUGUCUUGUAGCUUACUCGCUUAUGUUAUUUUACCUACGCUUAGGAUGUUGAGUCAUCACACAUCUCU
rnacentral:rRNA from 1 species